AAAGCGUGCGCAGGCGGUUAUGUAAGACAGAUGUGAAAUCCCCGGGCUCAACCUGGGAAUGGCGAUGGUGACUGCAAGGCUAGAGUUUGGCAGAGGGGGGUAGAAUUCCACGUGUAGCAGUGAAAUGCGUAGAUAUGCGGAGGAACACCGAUGGCGAAGGCAAUCCCCUGGGCCUGCACUGACGCUCAUGCACGAAAGCGUGGGGAGCAAACAGGAUUAGAUACCCGAGU
rnacentral:rRNA from 1 species